UGGGGAAUUGUUCGCAAUGGGCGCAAGCCUGACGACGCAACGCCGCGUGGAGGAUGAAGGUCUUCGGAUUGUAAACUCCUGUUGAUCGGGACGAACAACCAUCGGGAUAACACCCCGGAGGUCUGACGGUACCGAUUGAGGAAGCCCCGGCUAACUCUGUGCCAGCAGCCGCGGUAAUACAGAGGGGGCAAGCGUUGUUCGGAAUUACUGGGCGUAAAGGGCGCGUAGGCGGCCGCCUAAGUCAGACGUGAAAUCCCUCGGCUCAACCGGGGAACUGCGUCUGAUACUGGGUGGCUUGAAUCCGGGAGAGGGAUGCGGAAUUCCAGGUGUAGCGGUGAAAUGCGUAGAUAUCUGGAGGAACACCGGUGGCGAAGGCGGCAUCCUGGACCGGCAUUGACGCUGAGGCGCGAAAGCCAGGGGAGCAAACGGG
rnacentral:rRNA from 2 species